AAGCAUGUCUCCACAGGCGUAUUAUUCUAAACACAGGUGUCCUUCUUCUUCUUCUUCUUCUUCAUUAUUCUUCUCCACAGGCGUAUUAGUCUAAACACCGUGGUAAGAUAAGGCUGGUAACAGAAUGUAAGCAUAUAUUGCUUAUACUUAAAAUGGUUUAUCUGAAGAAGUAACAAUUAGUUACGAAACAGAUUAAUAUCCAGAAAAUCUGUAAUAUUGCAUAUUGUUCACUGUACUGCACAUGGAUUUGGCUUUGAAAGCGUAUGAUUGAAUUAUGCAGAUUGUCUCCACCUGGAAUAUAUGGAGAAGGAGACUAUCAUCAUAUUACAGCAUUAUGAAGAGAAACAUCCUCCCCACUGGAUUCCACGGGAUUUGAACUUCUACUGUGAACUAAUACAUCUACAGGAUAAGAACUGUUUAUCCCUAUAUGUGAAGUUGUAACAUACAUCUGGGGGAAUACUUCUUGUUAUAUAUGUUUAUGCACUUUGUCAUAUCCAGCGUGUAAGCCACUUUGGCUCUGAUAUGUUUAUCAGAUAAAUUUAUUGUGGAAGUUAAGUUGACAGUCUGAGUACUCCUCUUUAGAUUGUUCUAGUCACGGUGGGUUGUUUGGUUAUUUUUGUUACUAUCGCGUGACUCCUGUCACGCGACACAAUAAAAACCCGAGUACAACUCA